GACGAACGCUGGCGGCGUGCCUAAUACAUGCAAGUCGAACGCAGUGGGGACGGGUGCGUAACACGUGGGUAACCUCCCAUCAGAGGAGAGAACACUUGGCAACAGGUGCUAAACCGCUACUGAUGGAUGGACCCGCGUUGCAUUAGCUAGUUGGUGAUGUAACGGCUCACCAAGGCCACGAGGCCUAGCUGGCCGGAGAGGAUGAUCAGCCACACUGGAACUGAGACACGGCCCAGACUCCUACGGGAGGCAGCAGGAGGGAAUCUUACGCAAUGGACGAAAGCCUGACCGAGCAACGCCGCGUGAGUGAAGAAGGUUUUCGGGUCGUAAAGCUCUUUUGUUAGAGAAGCGGUACCUACCCAGGAAGCCACGGCUAACUGCGUGCCAGCCGCCGCGGUAAUUC
rnacentral:rRNA from 1 species